CGAUGUUUGAUUGGAUAGCGUGGUAAAGUCUGUAUGGCGGUGUUAGGUUGAUCUACGUUACUUAAUUUAUUUUGUUGUGAUAAAAGGUUUAGCUAGCUGCCGGGAUUUUUUCUUCAAUCGUAUUAACCAGAAAGUAAAAUUGUUUUGUGCAUCAUUUGCGAGGAUGAGUGGCGGAGUGUAUGGAGGUGAUGAGGUUGGAGCCCUAGUGUUUGACAUAGGCUCUUACACAGUGAGAGCCGGGUAUGCUGGAGAAGAUUGUCCCAAGGCCGACUUCCCCACGGUGAUGGGCGUGACCCUGGACAGGGAGGAUGGUAGCACCCCGAUGGAGACGGACGGCGGGGACAAGGGCAAGCAGGGCACCAACUACUUCAUCGACACCAACCAGCUGAGGGUGGCCCGCGAGAAUAUGGAGGUCAUGUCACCGCUCAAAAACGGCAUGAUCGAGGACUGGGACAGCUUCCAGGCCAUUCUAGACCACACCUACAAGAUGCACUUCAAGUCAGAACCCAGCAUCCAUCCUGUACUCAUGUCAGAAGCCUCGUGGAACACACGAGCCAAGCGGGAGAAGCUGACCGAGCUGAUGUUUGAGCAUUACAACAUUCCUGCCUUCUUCCUGUGCAAAACGGCGGUGCUGUCUUCCUUUGCCAAUGGACGAUCCACAGGGUUGGUGUUAGACAGCGGAGCCACACACACCACAGCCAUUCCAGUGCACGACGGUUACGUGCUUCAGCAAGGCAUCGUCAAGUCUCCCCUUGCUGGAGACUUUAUGAGCAUGCAAUGUAGAGAGCUAUUUCAAGAGUUAAAUGUUGAAAUAGUCCCUCCUUACAUGAUUGCAUCAAAGGUGAGACCUGCUAAAGAUGCUGUACGUGAUGGAACCCCAGCCAGCUGGAAGAAGAAGGAGAAACUACCUCAAGUCACCCGGUCCUGGCACAACUACAUGUGUAAUACUGUGAUUCAGGAUUUCCAAGCGUCCGUGCUGCAGGUUUCAGACUCGCCGUACGAUGAACAAGUUGCAGCCCAGAUGCCCACGGUUCACUACGAGCUGCCCAAUGGAUACAACUGUGACUUUGGGGCAGAGAGGCUGAAGAUUCCAGAAGGCCUUUUUGACCCUUCCAAUGCCAAGGGUCUGUCUGGCAACACUAUGUUGGGAGUCGGCCACGUGGUGACCACCAGUGUGGGAAUGUGUGACAUCGAUAUUCGGCCGGGUCUUUAUGGUAGCGUGGUGGUCACCGGCGGCAACACACUCAUCUCGGGCUUCACGGACCGACUCACCAGAGAACUCUCUCAGAAGACCCCCCCUAGCAUGAGGCUGAAAUUGAUAGCCAACAACACAACGGUGGAGCGCAGGUUCAGUGCCUGGAUAGGAGGCUCCAUCUUGGCAUCACUAGGAACUUUCCAGCAAAUGUGGAUCUCAAAACAGGAGUACGAAGAGGGCGGGAAGCAGUGCGUAGACAGGAAGUGCCCUUGAUCGACCACCAACAGCACCUGCUGCCUCCAGAACUCACAAUAACAUGUCUAGUUUAACCUUUUACUGUGAGCUCAGGAACACCCAAGGACGGUAGUUCUGUCGAUUUAAAAAAACGUUUUUUUAAAAACUGGAUAAUCGAAUCUGCCUUUAUCAUUUUUUGUAGAAAACAUGAACUAUAACGAACCGUGUCACAUAUUCCAUUGCUAUGAAAAGGGUGAAAGGCUGAGUUCCUUUUGACUCCAUCUUCAGUAUGCCAUUUUCAGUUUGUUUAUGGACCUUAUAUUCUGAUCUCAACCUUGUUGACAGGUAAGAAACACUUGGUUAGUGUAUGUGUCUUAUCCAAUGGGUUGUCAGGUGAACGUUGAAGAUGCUUCUUGGAGGUGAUCUAAUGAUGUCAUUGAAUCGAUGUCAUUGAGUUGCUCACUGGACAAGACAAUUAUUCACUGAAAAUUAAAUCUGUCUUUCAUUUCACUUUUGUUGAUACUUGAUUGGCUAUUUGCUGUCUUUUGAAAAUACAAAAAUAAAUAUAACUGUUUUAUGAA